rnacentral:rRNA from 1 species
UACGGAGGGUGCAAGCGUUAUCCGGAUUUACUGGGUUUAAAGGGUGUGUAGGCGGACUAUUAAGUCAGGGGUGAAAUCCCGAGGCUCAACCUCGGAACUGCCUUUGAUACUAUUAGUCUUGAAUCUUGUUGAGGUGGGCGGAACGGGUCAUGUAGCGGUGAAAUGCAUAGAUAUGACCCGGAACACCGAUUGCGAAGGCAGCCCGCUAAGCAAGCAUUGACGCUGAGGCACGAAAGCGUGGGGAUCAAACAGG